GAUGAACGCUAGCGGCAGGCCUAAUACAUGCAAGUCGAACGUGAUUGUUUUAGCAAUAGAACAUGAAAGUGGCGCACGGGUGCGUAACACGUAUGCAAUCUACCUUUAAUAGGAGAAUAGCUUCGAGAAAUCGGAAUUAAUACUCCAAAACAUAAUUGAGUGGCAUCACUUGGUUAUCAAACCUCCGGGGAUUAAAGAUGAGCAUGCGCAACAUUAGCUAGUUGGUAAGGUAAUGGCUUACCAAGGCUACGAUGUUUAGGGGGUCUGAGAGGAUGAUCCCCCACACUGGUACUGAGACACGGACCAGACUCCUACGGGAGGCAGCAGUAGGGAAUAUUGGGCAAUGGAGGCAACUCUGACCCAGCCAUGCCGCGUGUAGGAAGAAUGCCCUCUGGGUUNUAAAGCUCUUUUACCAGGGACGAUAAUGACGGUACCUGGAGAAUAAGCCCCGGCAAACUUCGUGCCAGCAGCCGCGGU
rnacentral:rRNA from 1 species